CCUACGGGAGGCUGCAGUGAGGAAUAUUGGUCAAUGGCCGAGAGGCUGAACCAGCCAAGUCGCGUGAGGGAAGACGGCCCUACGGGUUGUAAACCUCUUUUGUCGGGGAUAACACCCUCCACUUGUGGAGGUCUGCAGGUACCGUUCGAAUAAGGGCCGGCUAAUUCCGUGCCAGCAGCCGCGGUAAUACGGAAGGCCCGAGCGUUAUCCGGAUUCAUUGGGCUUAAAGGGAGCGUAGGCGGGCGUUCAAGUCAGCUGUAAAAUCGCGCGGCUCAACCGCGCCCCGCAGUUGAAACUGGACGCUUUGAGUUCACAACAGGCAGGCGGAAUUCGUGGUGUAGCGGUGAAAUGCAUAGAUAUCACGAGGAACCCCGAUUGCGAAGGCAGCCUGCCGGGGUGCGACUGACGCUGAGGCUCGAAGGUGCGGGUAUCAAACAGGAUUAGAUACCCCGGUAGUC
rnacentral:rRNA from 1 species